UACGUAGGGUGCAAGCGUUGUCCGGAAUUAUUGGGCGUAAAGAGCUCGUAGGCGGUCUGUCGCGUCGGCUGUGAAAACCCGGGGCUCAACCCCGGGCCUGCAGUCGAUACGGGCAGACUAGAGUGCGGUAGGGAGACUGGAAUUCCUGGUGUAGCGGUGAAAUGCGCAGAUAUCAGGAGGAACACCGGUGGCGAAGGCGGGUCUCUGGGCCGUAACUGACGCUGAGGAGCGAAAGCGUGGGAGCGAACAGG
rnacentral:rRNA from 1 species